rnacentral:rRNA from 1 species
GUUGUAUGGUUAAGUGACUAAGCGUACACGGUGGAUGCCUGGGCAGUCAGAGGCGAUGAAGGACGUACUAACUUGCGAUAAGCGCAGAUAAGGCAGUAAGAGCCGUUUGAGUCUGCGAUUUCCGAAUGGGGAAACCCAACUGCAUAAGCAGUUACUGUUAACUGAAUACAUAGGUUAACAGAGCAAACCGGGGGAACUGAAACAUCUAAGUACCCCGAGGAGAAGAAAUCAACCGAGAUUCCGGUAGUAGCGGCGAGCGAACCUGGAUUAGCCCUUAAGCGCUCGGUGAAGUAGGUGAACAAGCUGGAAAGCUUGGCGAUACAGGGUGAUAGCCCCGUAACCGACGCUUCAUCGAGCGUGAAAUCGAGUAGGGCGGGACACGUGAUAUCCUGUCUGAAUAUGGGGGGACCAUCCUCCAAGGCUAAAUACUCCUGACUGACCGAUAGUGAACCAGUACCGUGAGGGAAAGGCGAAAAGAACCCCUGUGAGGGGAGUGAAAUAGAACCUGAAACCGUGUACGUACAAGCAGUAGGAGCACCUUCGUGGUGUGACUGCGUACCUUUUGUAUAAUGGGUCAGCGACUUAUAUUCAGUGGCAAGGUUAACCGUAUAGGGGAGCCGUAGCG